UUGGACGAUUAAAAUAGGAUAUUUUUCUGGAUAAAUUUGCAAUUUUCAUUGGUUCAUACGUAUGAAGAAAAUUGUGAUUUAUAUGAAACAAAAUCAAACACGAGCACGUUGUGCGAGCAACAUGAUCAUCGUUUGGUUUGUUUUCACGGUCUCGAGGAUAGAUGGAAGAACGGAGGUCAAAACGUACGAACGUUGGUGUUUUGCUAUUGGCCCCUAUCGAUUUUCGAUCCUCAGGAUGUUCUACGGGGAUUUUCUUCUUU